rnacentral:lncRNA from 1 species
CAGCGGCCUGGGGUUCGCAGGUUCGGAUCCCUAUUGCGGACAUUGGCAAAAGCCAUGCUGUGAUGGAGAAAUUCAGCCACGGGAAAAAACCCUGCCUAACAUCAUACACCUGGUGACACAGCACAGAUUCAAGCUAACAGAGAAUCAGACUGGACAGCCAUCCUUCUCACAUUUACCAUUGCAAAACUGUGGCCCAGUGUUUCGUUGGUUUGAAUCCUGGGCGCGGACAUGGCACUGCUCAUCAAACCAUGCUGAGGCAGCGUCCCACAUGCCACAACUAGAAGGACCCACAACAAAGAAUAUACAACUAUGUACUGGGGG